rnacentral:rRNA from 1 species
UACGUAGGGGGCAAGCGUUGUCCGGAAUCAUUGGGCGUAAAGAGCGCGUAGGCGGCCCAGUCAGUCCGCUGUGAAAGUCAAGGGCUCAACCCUUGAAUGCCGGUGGAUACUGCCGGGCUAGAGUCCGGAAGAGGCGAGUGGAAUUCCUGGUGUAGCGGUGAAAUGCGCAGAGUAUCAGGAGGAACACCGGUGGCGAAGGCGGUUCUCUGGGCAUUACCUGACGCUGGAGGAGCGAAAGUGUGGGGAGCGAACAGG